rnacentral:rRNA from 1 species
GAUGAACGCUGGCGGCGUGCUUAACACAUGCAAGUCGAACGAAGAUGCCGGAGUGCUUGCACUUUGGCAGACUGAGUGGCGGACGGGUGAGUAACGCGUGGGUAACCUGCCUUAUACAGGGGGAUAACAGUUGGAAACGACUGCUAAUACCGCAUAAGCGCACGGUAUCGCAUGAUACAGUGUGAAAAACUCCGGUGGUAUAAGAUGGACCCGCGUCUGAUUAGCUUGUUGGUGAGGUAACGGCCCACCAAGGCGACGAUCAGUAGCCGGCCUGAGAGGGUGAACGGCCACAUUGGGACUGAGACACGGCCCAAACUCCUACGGGAGGCAGCAGUGGGGAAUAUUGCGCAAUGGGGGGAAACCCUGAUGCAGCGACGCCGCGUGAGUGAUGAAGUAUUUCGGUAUGUAAAACUCUAUCAGCAGGGAAGAUAAUGACGGUACCUGACUAAGAAGCACCGGCUAAAUACGUGCCAGCAGCCGCGGU